rnacentral:rRNA from 1 species
UUGGAGGGCAAGUCUGGUGCCAGCAGCCGCGGUAAUUCCAGCUCCAAUAGCGUAUAUUAAAGUUGUUGUGGUUAAAAAGCUCGUAGUUGAACCUUGGGCCUGGCUGGCCGGUCCGCCUCACCGCGUGCACUGGUCCGGCCGGGCCUUUCCCUCUGUGGAACCGCAUCUCCUUCACUGGGGGUGUCGGGGAAACAGGACGUUUACUGUGAAAAAAUUAGAGUGCUCCAGGCAGGCCUAUGCUCGAAUACAUUAGCAUGGAAUAAUAAAAUAGGACGCGCGGUUCUAUUUUGUUGGUUUAUAGGACCGCCGUAAUGAUUAAUAGGGACAGUCGGGGGCAUCAGUAUUCAACUGUCAGAGGUGAAAUUCUUGGAUCAGUUGAAGACUAACUACUGCGAAAGCAUUUGCCAAGGAUGUUUUCAUUAAUCAGGAACGAAAGUUAGGGGAUCGAAGACGAUCAGAUACCGUCGUAGUCUUAACCAUAAACUAUGCCGACUAGGGAUCGGACGGUGUUAUUUCUUGACCCGUUCGGCGCCUUACGGGAAAC